rnacentral:lncRNA from 1 species
AUGUCUGUCCCACUGUCCCUCGCUGUUCCCUCAUGCAAUAAAGGGGUUUUUUAUGUGGGGAAAGAAGAGAGGGGGAAAUGGAGUCUUCUCUACCUCAAGUCCAGAGCAAAGGAAGGAGCAGUGAUGUUGGUUUGGGAUCAAGAAGCAGAAAGAGAGGUCACCAUGACUAAAGAUGCCCAAAGAGUGACGUAUACUCAGCUGAACAUAAAAACCCUAAAAAAGGAGCAAACAGAUUCCAAGAAGAAACCUAUAGAGUCCAUAGUCUAUGCCACUGUGCCAUUGGAGUGAGGAUUUCACUACCUUUCAUGAAGAAAUUCUCUCCUUUCUUCUUCUCCUCUCCCUCACUCCUAUUAACUUGCAUACCUUCCCAGGUUCCCAUCACUGAGAAGCCAUGAGGACUAUUAGGGAUAUUUACUGGGGUUGUGCAAUGUAAAGAUAAUUUUAGUAUUGUGACUUAAAAUCUAAAUUGAAUUGUUCACCAGGGAAAACCCCAAAUAAUAAAAUACCCAAGUCAGCUGGAAAUUUAUGGUGA